UGGGGAAUAAUGGACAAUGGGCGAAAGCCUGAUCCAGCCAUGCCGCGUGUGUGAAGAAGGUCUUCGGAUUGUAAAGCACUUUAAGUUGGGAGGAAGGGCAUUAACCUAAUACGUUAGUGUUUUGACGUUACCGACAGAAUAAGCACCGGCUAACUCUGUGCCAGCAGCCGCGGUAAUACAGAGGGAGCAAGCGUUAAUCGGAAUUACUGGGCGUAAAGCGCGCGUAGGUGGUUUGUUAAGUUGGAUGUGAAAUCCCCGGGCUCAACCUGGGAACUGCAUUCAAAACUGACUGACUAGAGUAUGGUAGAGGGUGGUGGAAUUUCCUGUGUAGCGGUGAAAUGCGUAGAUAUAGGAAGGAACACCAGUGGCGAAGGCGACCACCUGGACUAAUACUGACACUGAGGUGCGAAAGCGUGGGGAGCAAACA
rnacentral:rRNA from 1 species